UUUCUUUCUUUUCUUUUUCUUUUUCUCCAUUAUAAACAGUUUGAUCACCAUAAACUUUGAUCAUUUGACAUCAUCAAAUAUCAGUGAUGUAAAUGAUAUUUUUAUCUGAUUCUUCUUAACAUAAUAGUAUUUCAUUGAGAAAUCCUCUGGUUCAUUCAAAUCUCAAUGCAAUUCCGGAAUUCUGCUACACAGCAAAAUGAGUUCAUUAAAAGCAUACUAGGGUAGAAGAGUACAAGUGCUCUAAGAACAUGCUUUCAUUAACGCCAAACAUGCUCACUUUUGGUUUAGUAAGCAUGCUCUAAAAACACAUUAAUAUCAAGAAAUUAAUGAGUAAGACUUCAACUACCAUUAGUGCUAAUA
rnacentral:misc_RNA from 1 species